rnacentral:misc_RNA from 1 species
CAGACAAGCACCUGUCAACUUCCGGCUAACAAACAUCCUAACAUUCCACUCUGUGAGUAAAGCUGGACACAAUCAGGAUGUAUCAAUGUAUUGCCAUGGAUGACAGCGGCAUGUAGUGCCUGUAACCAUGGUGAAGGCGUUGAAGGACAUGUGCCUCCACUGUGUCCAACACAGUCUGGAGCACAUCCCAAAUCUGCAGCAGAACUUACCUACUUUGUACAAAGAGAUCCUCAUUGAAAGACUGGCCAACCAUGACAUGUUUUUUGAACAUUACCGCCCAUUUAUUGCCAGUAAUUUGUUUUGUGAGAACUUACGUUAUGUCAAGCUGUACAAGUGCAGUCAAAUAGACAAUGAGUGCCUUAUAUCACUGUCUCGAGCUCGAUGUCAGCUGGAAGUCCUCACCAUUCACAGGUGUGAGAAUGUGUCAGAUGCUGGAAUACUUGCAUUGACAUCAGCCCAGACAUCAUUGCGGAAGCUGGAACUUCAGGCGUUGCCACUUCUGACAGGCCAGGGACUGUCUCAGAUUACCUCCCCUUCUUUGUGGAAGGCUGACUUUCGUGGCUGUCAUUCGUUAUUGAACAAUGGUAUUGCAACACUCGUGCAGAAAAAUCCAUCCUUACAACAUCUGGUGCUGGUGGACUGUCCAAAGAUAGAUGAGAAGAUAUUCUCUAUAGCUGCUGUCUCCCUGCAAGCUUCUCUGGAGGAGCUUGAAACCAGUCUACACACCGUCACUGACGACAGCCUACUGCAGCUGGCCACCCACUGUCCUAACCUUAAACGGUUAGACUUGAAUGGUUGUACCAAGGUGGGGAAAGAUGCUCUGAUAAAGCUGUUUCAGGGAUGUCCUCAUCUGGAGAAGCUUGAUCUGUCUUACUGCAACCGUCUCCGCCAACACCCAGAGAGUGAGGCACUGUGGACGUUGCCGCAGUCACUGCGAGAGCUGUCUCUGUGCGGAAUUCUCUUGGAAGAUGAGGGAAUAUUUGUGGAAUGUCUGCAACGUCUCCGUAACAUCAACUCCAUCCGACUCUGUGGGGUGUCAGCCUUAAAUGAUGACACUCUCACAAAGGUGUUGGAGCACAUCGGCAGCAAGUUGUCCCUCCUGGACCUGAGUGGGGGGAUGACGAGGAAGCUGACAGAUGAGGGGCUGGCAGCCGUGGCAAGGUACUGCACCAGCCUGGAGUCCCUCUCCCUCAGUCUCCUCCACACUCCCACAGGGAUCACCCUCAUGCCACUCUUCAAGGACAGGGACAGGGCCCUCCAGCUCAAGAAGCUCUUCCUCAGCUGUAACAUGAUAGACCUGGAACUGCUACACAAGAUAGCUGCCACAUGCCAUCAGCUGGACCAGCUGGACCUGUCUGGCCUGGUGUGUGUCACGGACGACCUGUUGUCACAGCUGGCCCACAACUGCCAACACAUCUCCCACCUCAGCAUCAAGGGCUGCAGACAGGUGACAGACUAUGGAGUGUGUGAGGUGGUCCGGUGCUGUCCACUCCGCCGACUUGUGGUGUCCGGGAUCAACAACCUGACUGACAAGUCUGUCUUUGCCCUGGCCAACAGCAACCCCUACCUUGAAGAGAUCUAUCUGAAUGGCUGCUCAAAGACUACUCCCAUGGCCAUCAAGUAUCUCAUAGACUGCUGUGUACCCCGCCUGUACGUCCAGCACUGUGUUCCCAACGCAGUCCCUGACCAGCUGAUGGCCAAGAACCUUGACACCGGCGAGUUCUGUAGAGCUGAUCUCCUCCAGACAUCAUGACGCUGUACUGUACGACAACGUGGGAUAAGCACCUGACAGGAAGGUGUACUAUAUGACAUGUGGGAUAAGCACCUGACAGGAAGGUGUACUGUACGACAACGUGGGAUAAGCACCUGACAGGAAGGUGUGCUGUACGACAUUGUGGGAUAAGCACCUGACAGGAAGCUGUGCUGUACGACAUUGUGGGAUAAGCACCUGACAGGAAGGUGUUCUGUACGACAUGUGGGAUAAGCACCUGACAGGAAGGUGUACUGUAUGACAUGUGGGAUAAGCACCUGACAGGAAGGUGUACUGUAUGAUAUUGUUGCAGGAUAUACAUUUUGUAGGCUCUAUCAUCUCUUAGGAUGUGAUUAGAUACCUUAGAUGGUUCACUAGGUCACUAUCAAAUCAAAAGUGUAUUUUAUCCACAAAUUACUGUUGAUAUGGUUGAAGAGACAGAGAGGAUGAAUGGUUAGAAAUGUUUACUUGUAUGCUGGUUGCCUGUAUUUGUUUUGGGAAGGAUGAAAUCCUGCCAUUGUUGUGAUAAUACUUGCUGAAUUUAUAAUAUAUAGUAUUCCAUGAAGAAAUUAUGCCAUUGUCAUGCACUAAAGGUGAUAUAAUGAGCAAGGUUAGAUUGAGUAUUAUUCACCAGUUACAUGCAGGGUGAACAUGAAGGGUUGGUUCUCCUGGGGAAUCCAAACAUCGGUUGUAUAAUACCCAAGGCAAAUCCUGAAUAUGUAAAACUCAUCUAGCAUAAUCAAAGUUGCUAUUUCCACAUGUCACUAUGAGUAUGAACUGUAUGGCAACAUGAAUCUUGUCAUGCGCACCAAUGACAAAAUUGGCUCUUGAGUAUUGUGGCAAAUCACAACAUGCAAAGUUUUAUGAAAUUGCUUUUAAACAUAAAUGUUUGAUUCCAGAGUGCCUGAUACUAUAUGCCCAGUGAGGAGUGUGUUACAUGAACACUUGGUGUGACAUUGCUCAAACUUAAUGCAUGAUAUGCGAGUCAUUCGAUCAGUCCUCUAACGAAUCAUUCCAUAUUGUCUGUCAUCUUUUUUUGCUGGUUGCAUAGGAGAUAUCGUUUGGGAGAGAUCUGUGAAAUCAUUUGCAGACCAUUGUGAAUUCAUUCGAUAACAAGACAUUGCGAUCUCAAAACGUAAAAGUUGGGAGACAAGUAUUUCAAGUAUUAAAUGGAAUCUUACUCAAGAGUCUGUUGAUAUAAAUGUAUCAAUUCUCAUGGAUUAAUGUUUAAAACUCCUCAACAAGUCUCGGACAGUUAGACCUUUAUCGACUCCUGUUGAUAUUUUCUUUGAGAGGCAUUUUAGAAGUUGAGAAGAAGUAAAAUCAAGUUGUAUGGAUAGUCAACUUCUUUAUUGCAACAUUCUGUUGAUAAGUUUGGUGGUUUCCUUUAUCAGUCGGGAUCCAUCAGUGAAGCAGUCAGAGUCACAUGAAGUGAAGCAGUCAGAGUCACAUGAAGUGAAGUAGUAGUUUCUAAGGUUACCCGUCACCAGUGUGUAUGUUGCCAGCAGGGUCAUGGACAACCUUCAUCAAAGAUAUUAGCUUACGAAGCUGCAUCCCUUGGACUUUGGAGACCUGUGAUUAGUUUUCCCUGAUCAUGUUUUUCGGUGUCUAUCACUGGUAAAGGUCUGAGCCCUGCUUCAUUUCUGGUCUGCUUCAUUUCAUUAGACGGACAUGCUGUGAUGUACUAGUAACUGAAUAUUGGAAAAGUUGCAUUUAGCCUGGCACACUCGCUCAGUCUGUUGCCCAGCUGUAAUGAACUAGAAAAGUCUGUGCUUAGCCAGUGUCACUUGGAACAACAUCAUAUGUGAGUGAUGCUUUGGAAUUUCAGUUAAGUCAGGAACAAUGGCCAGGGGUAACAAAUGUUCAGAUUCAAAUGCUUGGAUAUCAGAUGAUGUCUCUGUGGAGGGCUGUAAUUCAGGCUGAUUCCACCAGUUUCUGAAUCCAAGUUUUUUAACUGUUACAAUUGCAGCACAAAUUCCAUCUUACCUUGUUUUACACCAACAUUCCUUAUGUCCUUUGUAAUGUAAGCACAUGAAAGAAAUAUAAGAUGUCUUUAAUUUUGGGUUGGAAGUGAUAUUGGGGGCCUCAGUCUGAAUGUCUUGUGUAAGAUCAGGCCUUCCUGAGUAUAGGGGUGUGCCACAGGGGGUGUAGUUCUUAAUGUUGAUGAAAUACAUUUUGAAUCCUUGCCUUGCAUCCCUUGGGCAUGCCAGAAACCUUUGAUUGUGGGUUUGAUCUCAGUUCCCCAUUUUUAUGUUUCAAGGUUCAUCAGCAUCAUAUUUGUGGUAAACAUAUGAGACUCACAUCACAUCAUACGUUUCUCACAUGAAAGCUGAAAUACUGUGAUAUAACUGAAAUACUGUUAAAGGGUGGCUUUAAACACAACUCACUUACUCAUCCGUUUGACAAGCAUAUAUUUCAGGUUGUCUGCCCUUGUCAAACUGUUCCAGUGUAUGGAUUUUGUGCCUCAGAAACAAAUGUUAAUUGUUUUUAAAGUUCUGCCUUUUCAAGUGCUUAAUGCUUUUACUUGUAUUAACUUUUGUUCGGUAAGCUGUACUAUAUAUUUUACACAAUGUGUGGUGUGGUGGCCAAGUGGGUUAAGUGUUUGCUGCUCCUCAUACAGAAACUAUGGAUUGGAUUUCCACGUUGUCACAAUUUAUUAUGUCCAUUUUCUAGUGUGCCACUCUGUGAUCUUGUUGAAAUAGUCCUUUAAGUGGGACAACACCCAACUUGCUCACAUUUCAUACAAACUCAUAUUGGAACGAAAACUAAUGUGUUUUGUUCAUAUGUAUUGAAAUGCUUGAAAUGAAUUAAAAUAGAGAUAUAAUUAAAA